GACGAACCGUGCGAACGUUGUUCGGAAUCACUGGGCUUAAAGGGCGCGUAGGCGGACCGGCGAGUCAGGGGUGAAAGCCCGCGGCCCAACCGCGGAAGUGCCCCUGAUACCGCCGGCCUUGAGGGGGAUAGGGGCGUGCGGAACUUCGGAUGGAGCGGUGAAAUGCGUAGAUAUCCGAAGGAACACCGGUGGCGAAGGCGGCACGCUGGGUCCCUACUGACGCUGAGGCGCGAAAGCCAGGGGAGCGAACGGG
rnacentral:rRNA from 1 species